rnacentral:rRNA from 1 species
GGGGUAAAAUUAAUAAAAUAAAAAUAAUAAAAGGAUUUUUAAUAUUGGGGGGUAUUAAAGUAUUUUUUUAAAAAAAAAUAAUUUAUUUUAUAGUUAAAUAGUAUUGAGAAAGAAAUUUGAAAUAAUUGAAAAUAAGUUAAUUAAAAAGUAAUUUUUAUUUAAUGUAUCUUGUGUAUCAGAGUUUAUUAAAAAAUAUUUUUUUUAAAAAAAAAUCUCGAAUUUAAAAGAGUUAGUUAAUUAUAAAAGUUAAUGUAGAAAAAUUAUUUUAAAUAAUUAAUUUGAAAUGAAAUGUUAAUCGUUUUUAAAUAUAUCUAGUUAUUUUAGAAAAAAAUUUAAUUUAAAAUUUAAAAAAUUUAUUUUUUAAUUAUAAUUAAAAAAUAAAUUUUAAAAUUAAAUAUAUUAAGGGAUAAGCUUUAAUAUAAAAUUUUAUAAUAAAAUAAAAUUUAAAUAAAAACUUUAAAAUUUAUAUUGUUUAAAAAUUAUAAUUUAUUAUAAAAAAUUUUAUUAAAAAUAAAAUUUAAUUAAAAAUUUAAUUUUAUAUAAAAUAAUAAUAAAAAUAAAAAAAAAUUAGAAAUAAUGAUAAAAUUAGUAUAUUAAAUAAAAAUGUAAUUUAAUUAAUUAUAAUUAAAUUAAAGGAAUUCGGCAAAAUUUUAUAUUCACUUGUUUAUCAAAAACAUGUCUUUUAGAUAAUAAUUUAAAGUCUAAUCUGCCCACUGAUAAUAUAUUAAAGGGCUGCAGUAUAUUGACUGUACAAAGGUAGCAUAAUCAAUAGUCUUUUAAUUGAAGACUUGUAUGAAAGAUUUGAUGAAAUAUAAACUGUCUCUAAUUUAAUAAUAAAAUUUAAUUUUUUAGUUAAAAAGCUAAAAUAAAAUUAAAAGACGAGAAGACCCUAUAGAGUUUAAUAUUAAGAUUAUUUAAGAUUAUUUAUUUAAUUAGAAAUUAAAAAUAAAGUUAAUAUUUUAUUGGGGUGAUAAAAAAAUUAAUAUAACUUUUUUUUUAUAAUAACAUAAAUAAUUGAAUAAUUGAUCCAUUUUUAUGAUUAAAAGAAAAAAUUACCUUAGGGAUAACAGCGUAAUAUUUUUUUUUAGUACAAAUAAAAAAAAAAGUUUGCGACCUCGAUGUUGGAUUAAGAUAAAAUUUAAAUGCAAAAGUUUAAAAUUUUGAUCUGUUCGAUCGUUAAAAUCUUACAUGAUCUGAGUUCAAACCGGUGUGAGCCAGGUUGGUUUCUAUCUUUAAUAGGAAAAAAUAUUUUA